UGUAUGUUGAAGCUCUAACCCCUAGUGUGACUGCAUUUGGAGGCAGAACCUAUAAGGAGGUAAUAAAGGUUAAGUGAGGUCAUAGGGUGGGCUCUGAUCCAAUAGAACUGUGUCCUUAUAGGAACAGGAAGAAGCGCUAGGGAUAUCUCCCCUCCCCCGCUCCCUCUGUCUCCCUCUCUCCCUCCCCUCUCCCCUCUCCCAUGAGAGGACACAGCCAGAAGGAGACCGUCUGCAAGCCAAGGAGAGAAGCCUCACCAGCCAUGGAAUCUAUAGGCACCUUGAUGUUGGACUUCCAGCCUCCAGAGCUAUGGAAGCCAACCGUCGGGAGCACACACACCACAUUACA
rnacentral:lncRNA from 1 species